rnacentral:rRNA from 1 species
AGAGUUGAUCAUGGCUCAGAUUGAACGCUGGCGGCAGGCUAACACAUGCAAGUCGAGCGGGGAUAGGGUGCUUGCACCUGAUUCCUAGCGGCGGACGGGUGAGUAAUGCUUAGGAAUCUGCCUAUUAGUGAGGGACAACGUUCCGAAAGGGACGCUAAUACCGCAUACGUCCUACGGGAGAAAGCAGGGGAUCUUCGGACCUUGCGCUAAUAGAUGAGCCUAAGUCGGAUUAGCUAGUUGGUGGGGUAAAGGCCUACCAAGGCGACGAUCUGUAGCGGGUCUGAGAGGAUGAUCCGCCACACUGGGACUGAGACACGGCCCAGACUCCUACGGGAGGCAGCAGUGGGGAAUAUUGGACAAUGGGGGCAACCCUGAUCCAGCCAUGCCGCGUGUGUGAAGAAGGCCUUUUGGUUGUAAAGCACUUUAAGCGAGGAGGAGGCUUACCUGGUUAAUACCCGGGAUAAGUGGACGUUACUCGCAGAAUAAGCACCGGCUAACUCUGUGCCAGCCGCCGC